UGAAAAUGUCAUUUUAUCUGGCUGAGCCGCCAUGAUGGAUUAGACUCUAUUGUUAUCUGACCAACUGCUGCUCAGCCUAACUUGCUGCCGCUGUUAUUGCCUUGUGUGAACCUGCAGCGGCAGCAAGUUAGGUUGAGCAGCAGUUGGUUAGAUAACAGUAAACGAGGCUGACCCAACAUGGCCGCUCAGCCAGGUUAAAAAAUAUCAGUUUCAUUAAAUGUAAUAAACUUAAUAAAAAAUGAAAAGUAAAUAUUUGAUGACAGUUGUCCUUUAAUUCUUUCUAUUGGACCCAUUGCGAACUUACGUUUAGUAAAUACGCUCCUUCAUUGAUGUUAAUUUUGUAUUUGUGUUAACCCUAUCCCUGCCGCUGCAGGAAUGCAUGGUAUAUACACGUUCUGUGUGCAAUAAACCUUGUAUAGAUAAUGGGGUCCCUUUCACCCCCCUCUCCCCCAGUUUCUCAUUGUGUCCCCCUCUCUGUGCAGGGCUUAUCAUGAACAGCACGGCUGCACGUUCACCUCUGUCAUUCCGACCAACGUGUUUGGGCCUCACGAUAACUUUAACAUCGAAGACGGACAUGUGUUGCCAGGACUUAUUCACAAGGUUUAUCUCGCUAAAU